rnacentral:rRNA from 1 species
CGGUGUUUGGCACCUCGAUGUCGGCUCAUCACAUCCUGGGGCUGAAGUAGGUCCCAAGGGUAUGGCUGUUCGCCAUUUAAAGUGGUACGCGAGCUGGGUUUAGAACGUCGUGAGACAGUUCGGUCCCUAUCUGCCGUGGGCGCUGGAGAACUGAGGGGGGCUGCUCCUAGUACGAGAGGACCGGAGUGGACGCAUCACUGGUGUUCGGGUUGUCAUGCCAAUGGCACUGCCCGGUAGCUAAAUGCGGAAGAGAUAAGUGCUGAAAGCAUCUAAGCACGAAACUUGCCCCGAGAUGAGUUCUCCCUGACCCUUUAAGGGUCCUGAAGGAACGUUGAAGACGACGACGUUGAUAGGCCGGGUGUGUAAGCGCAGCGAUGCGUUGAGCUAACCGGUACUAAUGAACCGUGAGGCUUAACCUUACAACGCCGAAGGUGUUU